rnacentral:rRNA from 1 species
AUUGAACGCUGGCGGCAGGCCUAACACAUGCAAGUCGAGCGGAUGAAGGGAGCUUGCUCCUGGAUUCAGCGGCGGACGGGUGAGUAAUGCCUAGGAAUCUGCCUGGUAGUGGGGGGUAACGUCCGGAAACGGGCGCUAAUACCGCAUACGUCCUGAGGGAGAAAGUGGGGGAUCUUCGGACCUCACGCUAUCAGAUGAGCCUAGGUCGGAUUAGCUAGUUGGUGGGGUAAAGGCCUACCAAGGCGACGAUCCGUAACUGGUCUGAGAGGAUGAUCAGUCACACUGGGACUGAGACACGGUCCAGACUCCUACGGGAGGCAGCAGUGGGGAAUAUUGGACAAUGGGCGAAAGCCUGACCCAGCCAUGCCGCGUGUGUGAAGAAGGUCUUCGGAUUGUAAAGCACUUUAAGUUGGGAGGAAGGGCAGUAAGUUAAUACCUUGCUGUUUUGACGUUACCAACAGAAUAAGCACCGGCUAACUUCGUG